rnacentral:tRNA from 1 species
GAUUCGUAAGCUCAGUAGUGCUAACUCUUAAUCAAUAGGUCCAAGGUUCGAAUCCUUGACGGCCCACCA